rnacentral:lncRNA from 1 species
UAAACAAUAUACCUUGAGUAUUUUUUUGUUACCAAGAAUAACAUAACUUGUGAAAUCUCUAUCAAUUGUGCUUGCAGCAACUGUGAGCGUCCAAGGUUCCAAGUUGGAUACAGUACUAGGAACAGGUCCUGAAUUACCUCCAGAAGCCACAACAAUGAUGUUGUUGGCAACUGCAUGAAAAGAUCCUAUGGAAAUACUGUUUUGGGAAUAUUCUUGGGCUAAACCACCACUACCCAAAGACACCGAAAGCACAUCAACACCAUCACUUAUGGCAGCUUCAAAACCAGCCAAAAUGUCUGCAUCAUAACAUCCAUCCCAACAAACCUUAUAGGCUGCAACUCGUGCUUUUGGUGAUCCACCACUUGCUGUUCCAUUUCCAUUGCCAAAUACACUUGCAUUAGCAACGAAAUUUCCUCCAGCAGUUGAUAAAGUGUGUGAACCAUGACCUUCACUAUCCCGUGCACUAUGAAGCGAUACAUUUUUGGCUCUAUAAGGAUUUGCCAGAAAGCCUUUAAAAAAAUAUCUUGCUCCAAUAAGCUUUCUACAAAAUUGUAAUAAAAUUCAAAAUAGGAGCAUAUAGAAAUAUAUCAAAGACAAUUAAAUUGGUUUUAUUAUGUAUUAUAAUCCAAAUCAUGGUUAUAUACUAAGCUCAAUUUAAACUUGUAUAUCUUCUGAAGCUUAAACGUUU